rnacentral:rRNA from 1 species
GCAAGUCGAGGGGCAUCAUGAACUUAGCUUGCUAAGUUUGAUGGCGACCGGCGCACGGGUGACUAACGCGUAUCCUACCUUCCCAUGACUUCGGGAUAGCCCGGUGAAAACCGGAUUAAUACCGCAUGGUGUCCCUUGACGGCAUCCGACAGGGACUAAAGUUUUUUCGGCCAUGGAUGAGGAUGCGUCCGAUUAGCUUGUUGGCGGGGUAACGGCCCACCAAGGCUACGAUCGGUAGGGGUUCUGAGAGGAAGGUC